rnacentral:rRNA from 1 species
GUUUUCGUGCGCCGCUUCACUAGUGAGACUGCCUACGCAAGUAGCGAGGAAGGUGGGGAUGACGUCAAAUCAUCACGGCCCUUACGCCUUGGAGCACACGUGAUACAAUGGCCGGUACAGAGGGCAGCUACACUGCGAAGUGAUGCAAAUCUCGAAAGCCGGUCUCAGUUCAGUUGGAGUCUGCCAACUCGACUCUAUGAAGCUGGAAUCGCUAGUAAUCGCGCAUCAGCCAUGGCGCGGUGAACCGUUCCCGGGCCUUGUACACACCGCCCGUCAAGCCAUGGAAGCUGAGGGUACCUGAAGUCGGUGACCGUAAAAGGAGCUGCCUAGGGUAAAACUAGUAACUAGGGCUAAGUCGUAACAAGGUAGCCGUACCGGAAGGUGCGGCUGGAACAUCAUUUAG